AUAACUAUGUCUCAAUUAUGUGCUGAACAUCUUAGGUCAUUCUUUCUUGACUGGAUUCCUUGUUUGCUUUUUCCCUUGCUUGCACACUUGUAUUUUUAGUUGCAAAGAGAAACCUGAGCAUAUUUUCAUAAUCUAGAAUCCUCUCAAGACAGGAUACUUAAUUCUCUGAUUCUGCAAACAAUUAUUCAGACCAAAACAAAGCAGUUUUUGCUUUGAGAUUCUGACUAGAAAUGAUUAUUGGUCAGAUAUUCUAUUCCAAAGUCCCAGUGUUCUUAAUAAAAAAAUAAAGAUAUUUAUGAUGUUUCUGAUGUGUGAUGAGAUACUCAAGGUAUUAUGUGUUAAUAUAGUGUUCUUCACCAAAUUAUUUUGAUAUUAGAUCUGCCUAGGAAUUUGUGCCAAGUAGAGGACAAAGGAAAUAGGCAAUUAUUUUAUAUAUUUUCCAGUUACACGUGACUGAAUUUGACGGAAUAGAUGACCUAGAGGUUAAAACAUUUAAAGCACUUCAAUCCCAAUUCUCUUAUUAUUAUUUUUUACAUUGAUCUUGUUGAAAUUUGGAGGAGAGCUGUGAACACUGUAGGUCUGCAGGCUUUUGAAUAGAAUCUGAAGCUAUGUUAAAAAAGACUCUUUGAAUCCAGUUAAAACAGUUACAUCUAACUGUUCACUGAUUCCCCUUCAGUGAUAUGCUCAUGGCAAACUGUUUUUCUUUGUGAUUGUGAAUAUUAUUGUCAACAAUGCUUCCUCUGACAGCACAAAAAUUGACUUGCACUUACAAAGAUCAGACAGCUCAUAUAGUUAUUUGGAUUGAGAACACUAAAUCCAGUCAGGUUAAAUCCAACCGUCAAAUUACGAAACACAGGCAUCUGUAGAUCCAGGAGUUCAGCCAAGUUAAAAGUAAACCUUACUUCCCUGCAAACACAAAUGUGGAUUUCAGUGUUGCUCUAGAAGAAGGAAAAAAAAUCAAAUAAUUUGAUGGAUAAAGAAUCUAAGAGACAUCUAGCAGAAUAAAUGGAGAGGUAUAGAUCUCUUCUGUCUGUGAUGGCAAGAUACACAGGAAUGGCGCAAAGCUGCCCCAGGGAAGAUUCGGAUUGAACAUAAGGAAAAAUUUCUUUAUCUUGAGAGUAUUUGAGUUGUCAGGCACCAGACAAAGUGGGCUUCAGAACAGAGCUCUCCAAGAAACAGAAGUCAUUCUUCACCAUCUACUACUGUAGAUGUCCUCUCCAAGAAGACACACUUUAACUUCACAGAACCUAAUGAACCAGUACAAAGCUGAAGGUGGCAUUUGCCUGGAUUGCAUCAUUACUGGUGAUGAGAUGUGGAGUUAGUACUAUAAGCCAGAGUGAAAACGACAGUCUGUGGAGUGGCAACAUGUGAAUUCCCCAUUGAAGAAAAAGUUCAAGGUGCAGAUCUCAGAAGGUAAGGUAAUGUGCAGUGG